rnacentral:rRNA from 1 species
CCUACGGGUGGCUGCAGUGGGGAAUAUUGCACAAUGGAGGAAACUCUGAUGCAGCGACGCCGCGUGAGUGAUGAAGGACUUCGGUUCGUAAAGCUCUGUUGCAGGGGAAAAAGAAAGUGAUGGUACUCUGCGAGAAAGGGUCGGCUAACUUCGUGCCAGCAGCCGCGGUAAGACGUAGGGGGCGAGCGUUGUUCGGAUUUACUGGGCGUAAAGCGCGCGUAGGCGGCUAGGUAAGUCGGUUGUGAAAUCCCGCGGCUUAACCGAGGUCCCGCAUCCGAUACUGUCUGGCUUGAGUCUAGGAGAGGAAAGCGGAAUUCCCAGUGUAGCGGUGAAAUGCGUAGAUAUUGGGAGGAACACCGGUGGCGAAGGCGGCUUUCCGGACUAGUACUGACGCUGAGGCGCGAAAGCUAGGGGAGCGAACGGGAUUAGAUACCCGGGUAGUC